UAAACAGCAAGAUCUGGGGUCUGUUUCACAAGGUAGGUUAGGUGAAAACUCUGAGUCUGUUAACCCUGAAAUGAGGGAAACUCAGAGUUUUCCGUUUCACAAAGAGAGGUAACUCAAACCCGAGACAGAGGGGUAACUCUAGCCUGUUUCACAAAGAGAGGUAACUUAAACUCUCGGUCAGUUAUCGUAGUAACAGACUCUAUGACUCUAACCUGGUCAGGACCAGGUUUUUCUCAGUAAACCUCGAGUUUCUGUCUCCACCCUCUUUCAGCCACAUGCUAUUUGAUUUCCUCAUUCAUUCAUGCAGUCAGCUGGCGAGUUUUGGCGUAGUCUAGUUCUGCCGUCUGUCAAAAUGUCCUUUCAUUAAUGAUCCAGUGGAUGAAGGAGCAGCAUUACUGUGCAGAGAAUUAAAUAUUCAUCAGGAGAUUGUUAUCAGACCAUGCAUAGAUGUUCUCGUACUUCCGGACAGUUUUCUUUUAGAGCGGUACCGUUUCACGUCACAGUCCAUAAUCUACAUCCAACCUAAUCUGUCCUUACAUUUACAACAUUACCAACCACAGUCAUGCUCUGACAUCCCAGCAGAUGUUGUGUGUUGCGCUGCGGUUCUUUGCAAAUGGAAGUUUUUUUAUAUAAUGUCGGAGAUGCAGAGCACUUCAGUAAGACAACUGUAUGCAGGACAGUCAGAAAAGUGUGUCUGGCCCUGAAACGACUUUUAUCAUCUUUUUGGUUUUCCCUGGAAAUAAACCUGUCAGAGUCAUCAAGGAGGAGUUCCACAGGAUUGCAGGUGAAUGAUGAAGAGAUCUGUUCAAUUCAUUUUAAAUCAUAUCCAGUUAAUGACAUUGUGCUGCAACCUCAGACUGGGAUUAGUAAUUUUAAUUUCUUUUAGGAUUUCUCAGUGUGAUUGGCUGCAUUGAUGGCACACACAUCCCCAUCACAGCUCCCUCACAUAAUGAAGCUGAUUAUGUGAACAGGAAGUCCAUUCACAGCAUAAAUGUGCAGAUCAUAUGUGAUGCUGCAUACAUCAUUUCUAAUGUGUAGGCCAAGUGGCCUGGAUCUGUUCAUGACUGGAGGAUUUAUCAUGAGUCUAACCUGAGCAACAGACUGCAGCGUGGUGAGUUUGAUGGCCUUCUGCUGGGUGACAGGGGUUACCAUGCCAACCUAGGCUGAUCACCCCAUACCCAUUCAGAAAUCCUAAAAUGCUUGCAUUUUGAUUAUGGGUUGUCUGGAUUGUGUUAGACUGGUUUGCAUCCUAUUUUACUGACAGAACCUUCAGAGUUGCAGGGUAUGAUGUCUGAUUCUCAUGUGUUGUCAUGUGGUGUACCUCAGGGUUCUGUGCUAGGACCCAUUCUGUUCAUGUUAUGUGUGUCUCCACUUGGAAAGCUUAUAACUUCCUUUAAAAAUAUGUCUUAUACUUUGUUGACUGUGGAAUAUUUAGGAGCGAGGAAAUGUCACGACUGGAUUUGUUGCACAGGUGGCAUCCCUUCACAGUUCCACGCUGGAAUUCACUGAGCUCCUGAGAGCGAGCCAUUCUUUCACAAAUGUUUGUAAAAGCAGUCUGCAUGCCUAGGUGCUUGAUUUUAUACACCUGUGGCCAUGGAAGUG